UUGACCCGAAAUUAUUUUUUCGGAUCGCCAUAUGUGAAUAAAUUAUUACUGACAAACUGUAUAUCAGUAAACUGGUGAAGCUGUUUGUAUCGGCGGCGGUGUAAAUAAUGGUGAAGCAAAGUCACCCCGUUCGCUCUUCCAAUUCCCCUUCCUUCUCCUCCACCUCUUCCUCCAGUCCCCACCCUACCACCACCGCCACCGAUCACGAUCCUAUGCACUCAUGGUGGGAUUCCGUCUCCAAAGCCAGGUCUCGAAUUCUCUCUUUAUCCACUCUUCUUUCUUCCUCCUCUUCUUUCUCUUUCUCCUCCCUCGCCGAUUCCAAUCAGCCCGCUCUCUCUCUCCUCUCUUCCCCCGAGGCCUACUCCCUCAUCUCCUCCGCCCUUUCGGCUCCUUCAUCCGGUUCCGGCGCCGAUCGCCUCUGCCAUUGGCUUUACGACACCUAUCUCUUGUCCGAUUCACAUCUCCGUCUCGUCGUCCUCUCUUUCCUGCCUCUUCUCUCAGCUAUUUAUCUCUCUCGUCUCCAUUCACAUGAAACAUUUUCGCUUCCUUCUCUCUCCGGGUUUGAAGCAGUAAUUCUCGCGAUUUAUAGCGCUGAAGCUAAGUCACGUGCCGGAAAAGCCUUGCUUGUGCAAAUCCCGGACUUAUCUCAACCCUCACUCUACCACACUCCUCGUAACAAGGCUACUAUGUCUGCUAAUGAGAAUAAAUCUCGGCCGUCGGUUGGAAUUUUAUCGGCCCCUUUGGAGCCGCAGAUUGCUGUUAAGUCAACGAAGCGUGCUUGUAUCCUUGGAACCGCUCUCGAUUGUUAUUAUAAGCAAAUCUCGCAGAUGCCGAGUUGGUCGAAGCUUGAAUUUUGUAAUUUCGCGGCGGUGUGGGCUGGGCAAGAUUGUGAUUGCCAAAAUAGGUUGGAUUUUGAGGGUGAAAAUGUCAACUGCCAUGGCCAUGACAGUGAUGAUGAUUUUUUUGUUGAAGGUAUGGAGAACUUGAGAAUCGAAGAAAAUGGGGAUGCAAAUGUAAAUGUUGAAUUGAAGGGAGUGAGGAUUCCUUUACCGUGGGAGUUUUUGCAGCCUGUUUUGAGGAUAUUGGGACACUGUUUGUUGGGGCCAUUGACUUCUCAAGAUGUGAAGGACUCGGCUUCGGUUGCUGUGAGAAGAUUGUAUGCUAGGGCUUCUCAUGAUUUGGUUCCUCAAGCGAUUAUAGGGACGAGGAGUCUGAUUCAACUUGAUAAUAGAGAGCGAGCUGCUGCUGCUGCAAAGGCCUCUGCUGCCACCGCCUCCUCCACUGAGGCUAAUUCAUCUUCAAAUGUUAAUACACCUAGCAAGGCGAAGAAACCUGAAAUUCUUUUGGUGUCUAAGUGAUCCAGCUUUGCAGCUUGAAAAUGUGUCGUGAUGCGUCAAAGAUGGAGGUUACAUACUGACAUGGUUUUGCUACAUUAUGCAAGUGAGUUGUAGAUACUACUGAAAUAUGAUUUGAGCAAAACAACACUGACAACUGCAUGAUUUCCUUAAACGUGUGGAGAUUUUGACAUUUUUCUGGAACAAGUUAUAUUACUACAAAUCCAUCCAAAUUGUAUCAUUAAAAUGGGGAACAUAGUGAUAGUGCUAAUUGUUUUCUGUAUGGUCAGUUUUUAAACCUCAUGUAAUUAAGUUAUUUGAAAAGGGUGUCCAAAUGGGUGUGCAUUUGAUAGUUCUGAGUUGUACUUUAGAAUGACUAGGGUUUCGGGUAAAGUGAAGAUGUUUUCAAGGAUUGAAAAUUGUUUGAGGUUUUGUUGCUUUUCAUCAGGUUUUUGUAAUUUAUUCCUUGGCUUCACUGUUAAGUGCAUCAAUUGUUAAAAUGUUGCUAUAUGCAGAAAAUUGUGUUAAAAAAGGGUAGUUUUGGUUUCAUAAAAUUGAUCUUUCUAUUACUCCUUA